AUUACACAUUUAACCUUCCAUAACCAGUCCAUAACUGCUGUUUUUAAAAUUGCAGAUACCACAGCUACUCAAAAUCCAGCCAAGAAUUUUCUCAUCCAAAACCAAUCACCAGGAAAAGCCAGAGAAAAGCCUCAGGAGGAGAUUAUUCUAAUCCGCUCUAGAAAUCUUGAGCCUGGGCUGCAGCCCGAGUUUAAAAGAGCCUAUCAAAAAGAGUCUAUCGAUACAACAAGCCUAUCAGCGAGCGCCACGACUAGCGAUUCUGAAACAGAUAGCAUGACAACUAGCACCAAUACGAGCACAACGGGAAGCCCUACAUCAAAAUACUUUACAAUCAACCCAAUUAGUGCCUUAAUUAAUAAGAAAACUAGCACAACAGCUAGCCCAACAACAACAGACUUCACAAUUAGCGGCGCAACGACUAGCACAACAGCUAGUCCCACAUCCAGAAACUUUACAAUAAACCCAAUGACUAGCGCCAGUGCCUUAGUUAGUGAGAAAACUAGCACAACAGCUAAUCCCACAUCAACAAACACCACAAUUAGCAACAAAACUAGUACAACAGCUAGUCCCAUAUACCCUAUAAUUGGCACAACAACUAGCACAAGUGCUCCAAUUAGUGCUAAAACAAGCACUACAGCUAGCCCCAUAUCAACAAACACCACAAUUAGCGGUGCAACAACAAGCACAAAUGUUCCAGUUAUUCCCACAACUAGCACAACAGCUAGCCCCACAUCCAGGAACUUCACAAUUAGUGCAAUAACUAGCACAAGCGCUCCAGUUAGUCCCAAAAUUGGCAUUACAACUAGCCCCACAUCAACCAACACCACAUUUAGUGACAAAACUAGCACAACAGCUAGCCCCACAUCAACAAACACCACAAUUAGCGGUGCAGUUACUAGCACAAGUGAUCCAGUUAGUCCCAAAGCUAACACUACAGCUAGUCCCACAUCCAGAAACUUCACAAUUAACGCAAUGACUAGCACAAGUGCUCCAGCUAGUGCUAAAACUAGCACAACAGCUAGCCCCACAUCCACAAACAUCACAAUUAGCGACAAAACUAGCACAACAGCUAGCUUCAUGUCAGCAGACCCUAUAGUUGGCGCAAAAACUAGCACAAAUGCUUCAAUUAGUACCAAAGCUAGCACUACAGCUAGCCCCACAUCAACAAACACCACAAUUAGUGCAACAGCUAGCACACCAAAUGCUCCAACUAGCCCCACAUCCAGAAACUUCACAAUCAGCACAAUAACUAGCACCACAGCUCCAACAAGUGCCAAAACUAGCGCUCUAGCUAGUGCCAAAACACCAGAAACCAGUACAGAGCCCAGGCGAAAGGUAUCCCUCCCUCCAGCUCUGCAGAAAGACCGAUCGUUUGAGGAGAACUGGUUGAAGAUCACUCUGGAGGCUAAUGCAGCAGAAUCAGCAGCGCUGGAGAUUAAACCUGAGCGCCCUGAUCUAAACACGCCUGUCGAAACGCUGGAGAUAACAUCCUUCACUGAAACUCGGGAUAACAAAUCAAGCAGCGAUCAAUCAAAUCUGCCCAGAAGCAGCGCUGACCUCAUUAGCACUGGGCCAGAGGUCAAAUCCGGCCAAGCUGAGCUAAUAAUCUCUAGAGAAGUUACCAGAACUGAAGUGGAGGAGAUUAAGGAGAGUUCUGGAUUUGGGAAAGAUGUGGACCGAGAUUUAAAGAGGGAUCCUGAAUUAAUCAGGGGAUCUCAGAGGGAACGGGAACAGGAGCGGGAACAGGAAAGCUCCCCUAAGCUCUUCACUGUUUCCUCGGUGGAGAUGAUGAAAAAGCGUGAACCUCAGAGCAACACUGUUCUGGAGACCAAAGAGAAAAUCGCUGGGGGAGAAAUCGUAAUUUCAGAUUUUAAAAGAACGUCUCCGACGAGGAUGGAUGAGCUGGAUGUGGAGGAGAAUCCCAGCAUCUCUGGAAUUCCUGGAAAUCAAAACCCAGAACUUGCUAGUUUAGAGCUUAAUAGGCCAAUCAGAGCGGAGGAACUCGUAAAGAUUGAGACAGAAACAAUUGAAACAGAGAUAGUGAUUGAAAAUGCAGCUCCUCAAACAGAAAAGAAGAAAGAUUUUGAUGUGGAAUUGAAGGAAAAGGAAAGUGCUAAAGGGAAAACGUUGGAAUUAGAAGAAAUAGAUAGAAUAGUCGUGUCAGAGAAGAUAAAGGAUAAAAACGACGGCAUAUUGGAAGCGAAUGAAAGAGUGAUUGAAAGCGAUGCCCCUGGAGAAGAGCUCAGGAGAGAGAGUUAUAUUCUGGCGGGUGUAUACGCUCGAGCCCUGAAGGCAAAAUCCCCAACCACUAAACACGUUUCCAUCCAAGAUCCAAAGCAGCAGGAACGAUCUGUAGAUCUGAUUCCCUCCAUCGUGAUUCUACCAUCUGAGACACCAACACAUAAAGAAAGUAAGUGAUUUUAAUGAUUAGAUUUGAAUAGAUUUGAUGUACAAUAACAGAAUAAUGAUGUUUUGCACU
rnacentral:lncRNA from 1 species